rnacentral:rRNA from 1 species
UACGGGGGGAGCAAGCGUUGUUCGGAUUUACUGGGCGUAAAGGGCGCGUAGGCGGUCGUGACAAGUCACUUGUGAAAUCUCCGGGCUUAACUCGGAACGGUCAAGUGAUACUGUCGGACUAGAGUACAGAAGGGGCAACUGGAAUUCUCGGUGUAGCGGUGAAAUGCGCAGAGUAUCAGGAGGAACACCGAUGGCGAAGGCAGGUCUCUGGGCAUUAACUGACGCUGAGGAGCGAAAGCAUGGGAGCGAACAGG